rnacentral:tmRNA from 1 species
GGGGCUGUACUGGUUUCGACGUGGGUACGGGCUCGCAGCAGGGCAUGUCGAGGUGCUGUGACCUCGUAAAACGACAGCAAAAAAGUAACUGCGAACGACGAACGUUUCGCUCUCGCCGCCUGAUUCGGCGAGCCUUGCACCGGUCGGCCGAUAGGCCGGGCCGCGGGGGUUGAAAGACCUUCCGGCAGCAAGGGCAUCUGCAUCGGCUGGUCUCGCGGUGGGCAACCUGCCACGGGAUGAGAUUCCAGGUUGCUGGCCCAGGCAGUGGCGUGCCGCUGCGCAACCGCCUGGGUGAGACCUCAAACAGACGGCUACACAUGUAGAACUGCGCGAAGAAGGCCUGCGGACGGGGGUUCGACUCCCCCCAGCUCCACCA